rnacentral:rRNA from 1 species
GACAGAGGAUGCAAGCGUUAUCCGGAAUGAUUGGGCGUAAAGCGUCCGCAGGUGGCUAUGUAAGUCUGCUGUUAAAGAGUGAGGCUCAACCUCAUAAGAGCAGUGGAAACUACAUGGCUAGAGUGCGUUCGGGGCAGAGGGAAUUCCUGGUGUAGCGGUGAAAUGCGUAGAUAUCAGGAAGAACACCGGUGGCGAAAGCGCUCUGCUAGGCCGCAACUGACACUGAGGGACGAAAGCUAGGGGAGCGAAUGGGAC